GGGUCGAUAAUGAGAACCUUAUAUUGUCUGGAAGAGAGGUGAUGACUUAAAAAUCAUGCUCAGGCCCGCUGAGGCCC
ensembl:snoRNA SNORD115 Small nucleolar RNA SNORD115